ensembl:lncRNA
CAAUACAAUACAAAAUAUGUAUAAAACAAUUAUAUUAUUUAUUUUUAUUCUAACAUCUUAUUGUGCACUUUCAUCAUUCAUUUAAAUCACACUCAAAAGGUUACAAAACCAAGGGAAUUUUCCUAAUCUUGCAGCACUUGAAAUCCUAAUUUCAAGUCUGUUUCCAGCUCUGGCUGACAGACAGCUGCUGACAGCCAUGUGAAGAAGAACCAGCAGAGAUUUGGGGAAAUCUUCAAUAAAACAGCGUAACUAACAGGCAGCACAUUGAGAGCGUGAUAAGAAGGACAGAGUGGCUCUGCAUCUCACUCGCCGCUCCCCAAACACGCUGCUGGCACGGCCGUUGAGCAAUGCCAUGCCAGACUCUGUUAGCACCCAAAAAAAUAAAUAAAUAAACAAAUCAAGUCGCCAUCCUCAGUAAUCCCCUAAAUUCAAGCUUAUUCAUGUUAAAUCUGGAAGAGAAAAGCCCCGACCCCGUUCUGUUUGAACCCUCCCCCUCUCGUCAGUUCCAGUGUCAGCAGUUGUUGUUUUGCGACCGGACAUCUUAUGGCACACGCAGAUAUGCUGGGACAUGGACAGCUUGUCCCGCUAAAGCCUGUUUUGUCUUGUUCCACUCUUCCUCGUCCUCCAGUUUUGCGGUAUCGGCGGUGGCUCAGACGCACUGAAGGAUAUCAUAGAGAGAGUGACAUCGGACAGCCUGGGUCUUCAUGGCCACGCUUGACUGGAUCCUCCAAAGGGCCUCUCCUCUGUCCACUUCACUUUCUGUCCCCUCCGCUGCGGGCCUCAGGGGCCUCGGGGACCUCCAGGGAAGGGGUGGACAGACAGACGUAGACAUUUGUGAGUGUGUGUGUGUCUGUGUGAAAGUCUAGCUCAGAGCGCAGGGCGUCUGGCAGGGCUGCAGUCUGUGUCGCAUUCUGACAGAACAAGUGUUGCAUGAGAUGCGGCGAGUUGUCUCAGUGAGCCUGGAGCAGGUGUUGCUCAUCGGCGACUGCACUGGAGCGAAGACCCUUGUGCAUAAGACAACCACAGCCAAACGCCCAGGCCAGGACAGUUCACACACACCCACACACACACUAAUGAUAAUGGAUUCGGGGUGGAUAGGCAGCCAGAUUCUAAUGGAUCAGAAGACAGCAGCACACUGGGACUGUUUCAGCUGCUGGGCAGGACAGAGGACGUUAAACACCCAUUAACAUGUUGACAUGCAAAGGCAUUUAGGUAACGUGUGUUGCAGGUGGCCAUUAUUAUUUAAUAUUUUAUUUUGCAUUUUAUUUAUUUAAAAUUUUUUAUUUUAAAAACCUUUUUAAAAUAUUAUUUUUAAAAAGAAAAUGAAAAAACAAAAACAGAAAAAAAAACUAGUUUUUACUUAAAACUAAAAUUAGAACGAAAUUAUUCAAACUAUUAAUAAAACUACUUAUACCUUAAUAAUACGAAAAUAACAAUGUAUUGCAUAAAAUAAAUAUUACAAAUCAUAAUUUUGUUAAUUUAAUAUUCACAUGCAUGAUGAUGAUGAUGAUGAUGAUGUGUUUUUUUGUGGGCUGCUCAUCUGUAGCCACUGAAUAAAACUCUGUGUAAGUGUCCUGGUCCAAAUGCCUACUGAACAGUUAACGGCUAUCCUGCUGAUUGGACAACAGAGAAACAAAUGCAGCCAAAUCCAGCUCAGACCAGAGCCAAGGUUCACAGCGCUGCCCUCAACCCCCGGACAGAUUUUUAACUAGGAGCGAAAAGUCUGGCACCUACUGUAGUUUAUUCUGAAAAACUCAUCUGAAAACUGACUAAAUGUCUUCCUAUUUUAAUAGCUUCUAAACAUCUACGCAAACAUAAAAACAGUAAGCCAUGAGAAUGUGCAUCUGAUUAUGUAUAUAUUUCAUUUAAACAUACCAAUGGUUCAAAAGUUUGGGGUAGGUAAGAUUUUUUUAAAUGUUUUAAAACUAUUAAAAAACUAUUGUGAAAUAUUAUUCUAAUUUAAAAUAAAUGUUUUGUAUGUGAAUACGUUUUAAAAAUGUAAUUUAUGUGAUCAAAGUCUUCGGUGUCACAUGAUCCAUCAGAAAUCAUUCUGAUAUGAUAAUUUGCUGCUUAAGAAUCAUUUCUGAUUAUUAUCAAUGUUGAAAACAGUUGAUUUGAGCAGCAUUUAUUUGAACCAGAAAUCUUUUGUAACAUUAUGAUUGUCUUCACUGUCACUUUUGAUCGAUUUAAUGAAUCCUUGCUGCUUACAAAACUUUAAAACAGCAGUAUACUGCAAUAGCUACCGUCAGGAACUUGGCCAAAAUAAUACAAAUUUAUGAUAGUUUAAUACUGGUGUGAAUUGUGUGUAAAUGUCCUGCUAAAUGUGUAUCUGUUGAUGACAUUUACGAGCUUUGCCAAACUUCCCAGGCCACUGUCAUUAGAUCACUGAACACAAAGAACGCAGCACAUGUUUUAUAGCAGCGAUUGGAAAAGACAUAUCAGUAGGUGAGCCAGGAUAUACAGAAUGUUAGAUUAAUAGCCAGUCUCUCUCUCUCUCUCUGUCCCUCUCUCACCUCCCGGGCCAUUACGGCUCAUUGUAGGACAGGAGAGGAAUAACUGUGUGGCUGGGUGACAGGCCAUCUAUCCAUGCAGACUCAUGCCGUUUCCUUCAGGACUGCUGCCCCACUAAUAGGAACAUGCCCUGGAACUCAAGCUGGAAAAUACACCUCAUUCCCGCCCGCUUGUUUUUUAGGCCAUCGAGGAUCCUCAGUCAUCAAUAUGAAUCUGAGUCGGAGAGGGUUUUUCCCUUCUUUAUCCGUUACUGUGAGCGCCGGCAGCCUGAUGGAUCUCUGCCAUCACUUCUGAAUGAUGUUUGCCUUUCAUUUCUAUUUCUUCAUCUCUCUUUCUCAUUUCUGUCUUCAUCUUUCUUCUGCUUCUGCUGCUGCAGCUCAGGCUGUUCUGAGCGCAAAUAAAGACAUCUUUGAAACCUUCCACAGAAAUGUGCAGUUUUGGGGGUCACUCAUCUGCAGAUGAAAUGACUAUAUUACAUAGGCCUGCUGUCAGCGGUGAAUCAGAUGAGCCAGCGAACUGAUAUACAUGUUUUUAUGGGUCACAUAAGCAUGUCAGAACAGCACUGAAGAAUAUUUAAUACAGAGACUAUCAAGUACUGUCAUUUCAUUCUUUUAUUACUGCUUGCCAAUAAGAUAAUGUACAUUGAGGACGUCUAUAUGUGAAAUAAGUUACAUAUUAACCAAAACUGUUUUUUAUGACUGACACCAAUAAUCCAUAUAUAACUGUGUCCAAUAAAUAAUAUGAAGAUUUAAAUUUUAAUUAAAAACUGAUCCAUUAUUAGUCAUUUUGAAACAUUUUUGAAAAAAUAUCAUUAUAAGGCUGCAAAAAACAACAACAUCCAUUGUGAAUAAUAAUAAUAAUAAUAAUUAUUAUUAUUAUUAUUAUUAUUAUUAUUAUUAAGCAUGAAUAGAUGUUAUAAAAAAUGAAUGAAAACAAAGUAGUUUAAAAAAGUUGCAUAUAUGUACAGUAUAAAAUACACACACAGAGAGAUAGAGAGACCAAUUAUAAAUAUUAUAAAGUAUUUAAAGAUUAUGAAUGUAUUUCAG